GGGCUGAUUGGUGACCGGGUUGAAGCUGAAGCUAAACCAGGAGCAGGGUUUGAAGCAGAAGUGGUCUCGAUUUCUAGUCUCUUUCAGCACAGACUUUUCUCCAAUCCGUGAAUGGAUUUUCUCCUUUGUGGAAGCUUCAUCUUGGGAGCCAUUUGCACAGGCAAGACUAGCACGAAACUUAGGAGAGCAAAUGUGAGGGAGAGAUGAAGGGUUUUUAGUGGAAAGAUAAGGAUUUUGGAGAAGUGGUGUGCCGAUUUGGAGAAGACGGGUAGAGCCUAGGGUAAGCUCGAAUCGCUUCAAAUGAAGAAGGAGAAGGGGAGGAACUUGGUUCCU
rnacentral:lncRNA from 1 species